GGAGGACAGUGGAAGUGGGCACAGGGACCCAGCUCUAUAUUUCCAUCCCAUGCUGUCCCAAGACUCACAACAAGUUCCUGUGACCUCUCAAACUAUGCGAGGGGCCGGCAAACACGAACAGAGGGGUCUGGUCUUCCUAAGACACCACCAACACUGUGAGAAGGGGCCCAGAGGAGCGGCCACACCAUUCCCGGAGCUUGCCGAGAGACUCCGACACUGGUGUCAGUGGGAAUUCUGAAGCUCCCGGCACAUGAGCUCAUGCGUGGCCGAGUGCCCAGCCCUGUGCUUCACGGCUUUGGAAUGUGUUUUCUAGGCUGGCCUGCCUUGCUCCCCCCAUCUCACCACAGCAAGGGCUGCUGUCUGCUCUCGGCUCUUCAAAGCCAGGCAAAUUCCAGAAAGGCUAUUAAUUUGCACUGGUGUGCGAUGCUGUCCCAGGCAAAAUUCUCCCUGAGGUCUCUUGCAAGCAGCGAAUAUGACCAGAAGGACACAGGCUGAGAAGAGGGGAUGGCCCUUCUGGCCCUGGCUCGGCACUGGCUCAGAGAGAGACAGGACCAUUGCCUCUCCCCAGUCUCCAGCCCUUGUCACUUCACCUGGCCCACAGUCAACCCCAGGAAAUGAGCAAGCGAAUGGAGGGCUGGAUGGAGGACUAUUAUCACCUCUCCAAGGGACCUCUGGGUCGUGUCCCUGCCACCCAGCUGUAUCUAAGCACUGGUAUCACGGCAGCGCCACUGGUCCUUUUUGGAUGAAUGCAGUCUAUGUAAUAGAUCGCACACACAGAGAGCACACCUCCCUCUGUCUGCUACCACUGAAGCACUCAACGAUCAGAUCACACCGUGUGUGAUGCCCUCCCCUCCCCCGUGGGGUGCCGAGGGAGAGCAGAGUUGGUUUUGAGAUGACCUUUUCCGUCUUCCCUUAGUAGUCUAUGAGAAUUUUAAGGCCAGAGGAUGGUCAUGGAGAGUGUGCAGAGAGCGAAGGGGAGGCCUGUCUUUCCACAAGAACUCUGAGCUCUUCCCUCCCCAAACAUCAGAAAGAGAUGGAAGAGGCUGCUUCUAACACCCACACCUUUCACAUCUCUGUUCAAUGGCCCCAGUGUUCUCCUAUAGCCCAGCAGUGGCCUCUGCCCUUACUGCCUCAGUCUCCCAACUUGGGGGCAGAGAUCAACCCAGAAGGUAAAGAAGACACAACAUCUUUACAUGGCCAGCAGUACUCCAGUCUCCAAGAUGUGUCCUGGCCUCCUGUCCCAUUAGGAGGACAAUGAGGGGUGGGGAGGGAUGGUGAGCUUGCUAUUCAAGCAGCGGCCCAUCCCACCCUUCAACCUCACCAGAGAUGAUGCAAGAUCUUCAAAGCCGGGAAGCUGGUGUCUGCCAGGGGACGAGGACACUGGGUAUCUUGCAAACCCAGAGGCAGGCUAGGUCAGCAACUGCUUACCUCUCCAGUGGAACCAGGGGUCAGCAGGGAGCCACCUACCCUGUUUGCCUGACCCUCGGGCUGCUGACAACCCUGUCAGGACGCUGCACUUGCCCCUGGCUCUGCACAGAAAAGGGUCGGGGGAGGGGGCACCGAGGGGUGGGGGGCGCCACAGGGACCAUACCCGCACCGCGAAACUUUACGCUGUAAAGUUAAUCCACUGAAGCGUAGCCCAAAAUAAGCGCACUGCCUAAUGUGCCGGGAACUGCCGGUCGCAAGGCCAGACUGCAAGCGGAUGUCUGCGCAUCUCCGCCCGCCCGCCCGCCCGGAGCCUGCAUUUAGCGCCAGCGAGGGAGUCUGGGCUGGAGCGCUGCUUUCACACCGACUCGAGCCGCGAGUUUAUGGAUCUUGAUUGCACCCAGCAGGGAAUCCUUUUUAGUGAUGAGAGAAAAAAUAUUCAACAACC
rnacentral:lncRNA from 1 species